GUCCGCACGGGAAAAUCGGCUCAUUUUCCCGUGCGGUCCAUUUAAGAGGACCGCACGGAAAAAUCGAUUUUUCCGUGCGGUC
rnacentral:pre_miRNA from 12 species